rnacentral:lncRNA from 1 species
CUAAGAGGACUGGAGGGCCUUCCGAUGGCUGGCCCUCACCCGAGGUGCCCCUCGUCCCUCCUCUGCACUUGAGCAUGUUGCCAAGGUCCUGGGGCCGCCACUGCCACAGGCAGCUGCACUGAGGUUGCCAAGUGGGCUGGUUACUCAGGUCCCUCUGGGCCCUUAUCUGACAGUGCGGUUGAUUCUACUGGCUCGAGAGAAAGGCCUGCAGCCUGGGCUACCGGGAGGGCAUGCAGCUAAGGUGAAAGAACAUGAGCAGAGAUGGCGUUUACCUGAUGGACUCUAGACCAGCUUUGGUGAGCCUGAAUGAAAGCCCCUUUUGGAGACCGUCUUUCACGCCACCACCCCAAGCUGCUGCAGGGCCUGGAUGAGGGUGACCAGAGAGACCUGAAGGGAAGGCUAGGGCUGGAACAGACGGCAGUGUCCUGUCCUGUCUGGGGUGCUGGGGUCUCCAUGAGGAUCCGAAGAUCUCCACGCGUCAGAGCCCCGGACAGCCUCCGCGAACCCAGGGCGCUGUCCAAGUGCAUGAGAGGAGGUCACAGAGAGGGCGUGACUGACAGGUGACCUGCAAGAGGACUGGCCAGUCGGCUGCACCUCACGCCUCCGCCGUCUGUGGACUGUGUGUUCCGCCGGCUCUUCCCGCGUGAGCAGCCGUUGACUUGGAGAGAGGCAGUCUCGCGAGAGUAAGGUUGUGUUGAGCCCAUUAAAGCCUGGGAAUUAACUUCAGAUUCUGGUGGGUGGGCGUGGAGAUCUGCUUUUUGUACUUGCCGCCCAAGCUGUGCUGUGCUUAGCUGCUCAGUUGUGUCCAACUUUGAGACCCCAUGGACUGUAGCCUGCCAGGUUCCUCUGUCCAUGGCGAUUCUCCAGGCAAGAGUAUUAGAGUGGGAUGCCAUGCCCUCCUCCAGGGAUCUUCCCGACACAGGGAUCAAACCCAGUUCUCCAAUGCUGCAGGCGGAUUCCUUACCAUCUAAGCCACCGGGGAAGCCCUGGCACCCAAGAGAAGCCACCGUGUAAGUUGCCUGCAUUGUUGCACCUGCUUCCUGCCACCUAGCGGUCUGGAAUGUGCGUCUCUUUGCUCGCUCCCAGGUGUAGCUGAUGCUCCUGGUCUGUGGACCACACUUCAAGUAACAAGGAUGUAACAUGUGCUUAUCAAAUGGGAGGCUUAAUUUUUUUUUAAAACUUGUAACUUAAAAGUUUGAAAUAAUUUUGUGUUUGCAAGGACUGAUGCUGAAGCUGAAGCUCCAAUACUAGGGCCACCUGAUAUGAAGAGCAGAUUCCUUAGAAAAGAUCCUGAUGCUGGGAAAGAUUGAAGGCAGGAGGUGAAGGGGAUGACAGAGGA